rnacentral:rRNA from 1 species
AGCGGCAAAAGCUCAAAUUUGAAAUCUAGUACCUUCGGUGCUCGAGUUGUAAUUUGAAGGUAGUUUUCUGGUGCUGGUCCUUGUCUAUGUUCCUUGGAACAGGACGUCAUAGAGGGUGAGAAUCCCGUCUGAUGGGGUGUCCAGUGCUUUGUAGAUUUCUACCGAAGAGUCGAGUUGUUUGGGAAUGCAGCUCUAAGUGGGUGGUAAAUUCCAUCUAAAGCUAAAUACUGGCGAGAGACCGAUAGCGAACAAGUACAGUGAUGGAAAGAUGAAAAGAACUUUGAAAAGAGAGUGAAAAAGUACGUGAAAUUGUUGAAAGGGAAGGGUAUUGGAUCAGACUUGGUGUCUUGUGAUUAUCUUCCCUUCUUGGGUUGUGCACUCGCAUUUCACUGGGCCAGCAUCGGUUCGGAUGGCAAGAUAAUGGCUUGGGAAUGUGGCACUCUUCGGAGUGUGUUAUAGCCCUUGUUGAUGUUGCCUAUCUGGACCGAGGACUGCGG